rnacentral:rRNA from 1 species
AGUGAACGCUGGCGGUAGGCCUAACACAUGCAAGUCGAACGGCAGCACAGUAAGAGCUUGCUCUUACGGGUGGCGAGUGGCGGACGGGUGAGGAAUACAUCGGAAUCUACUUUUUCGUGGGGGAUAACGUAGGGAAACUUACGCUAAUACCGCAUACGACCUACGGGUGAAAGCAGGGGAUCUUCGGACCUUGCGCGAUUGAAUGAGCCGAUGUCGGAUUAGCUAGUUGGCGGGGUAAAGGCCCACCAAGGCGACGAUCCGUAGCUGGUCUGAGAGGAUGACCGGCCACACUGGAACUGAGAAAGGGUCAAAACCCCUAGGGGAGGCAGAAGUGGGAAAAAUUGAAAAAUGGGGGAAGGCUGGACCAAGCAAACCGGGGUGGUGAAAGAAGGCUUCGGGUUGGUAAAGCCUUUUGUUGGGGAAAAAAAGGCAGAGGGUAAAAACCCGCUGGUUUGAAGGGAACCAAAAGAUUAAGAACGGCCUAAUUCGGU